UUGCAAUUUUAAUGAAGAGUUUGGUUGUAGCUGGCCCAUUCAUUUGGGCAUGUGCACACCUUCCUCUUUCAUCCCACACACACCUGUGAAACCUGUGAGACAGAGAUGGGGAAUUUACUUGCUGCUUUUUGGAAUACAAAGGCAAUAGGUUAUUGGACCCCCCCUCUGUCUACUCAAUUAAUAUAAACUCAAUUUUAUUUUAAAACGAAUGUAAUGGAUGUAACACAUCUCAUAC
rnacentral:misc_RNA from 1 species